UGAACGGAUUUAGAACAUCGUUAUCUGAUUGCAAUUCACCUUUGAUAUUAGCUGUAGUCUACUUCUGUUUUAGGAGCAAUUAGCUAGAAAAAGGUAGCACCUAGAAAGGUUUUGAAGAAAUGCCCCUGAUGACGUCAGACUCACCGGGAUAUAAAUUCGCUGGCUUCUCUCAUUUGAUUCAGUCUUAGCAGCCGCAGUAACGUCAAUCAAGAUGACUAAAUUUGUUGAAGUAUUUAUUGGAGUCAUUAUGCUUGCAAUGCUCUUUUCGUGUCAGGUCCAUGCAGAGAAUGGGACCACAAUUGCCCCGACGGCCAACCAAACCAGCGCAGCCACAACUUUCAAUACGACUACCAACGUCGCUAGCAUGGGCAAUGCCACUGUGAAAGGUGCUGGUUUGUCCUUGCAGUCAAGCGCUUUCACGCUACUCAUCCCAGUCAUCCUGGCAGGCUCUGUACUGCACGGUCGGUUCUGAAAGCCGGAGGGACAUCAACGCUAAACGGAGACCGCCCAGACUAACAACAGCUGUAAAAGUGGACAUGCAAUAUUUCAAAUGGGCGACAUUUUCCAGAUUUUUAAAGCCAAUCUGCGUUCCCGACUUUGUCUUAUUUGGAGGGAAAGGUGCAUGCCAAUUCCUUUAGCGACACCCAUGCUCAUCACAUUCCCUAUCACCCCAGGGCCAAGUUUUGGAACUGGGCUUUUGAAUUACGCGCCUCGUGGUACAAGGAUGAAGCCCACUGUACACCCACGCUCUGGCUUGUUUUUGUCACGGGUCUUUUUAGGACUGAUUUGUAAUUUAAGAAACGUAAAUAUUUGUGCCCGGGAAAUCAACGUAAUAACGUUGGUUGAGGCGCUUUGUGGGGACUGUCCCUUAAAGGUGCGCUUCUAUUUUACGCAAUGGAUCUUUGUUAAUGGCUACUUGAUAGGCUACUUGUCGACUUUUGUAUAGUAAAUGUCCUUAAUCCGUUUUUUUUUUUUUAUUGUAUGAAUCAGUGACUUACACUCGCUAGAUUUUUGUAUUCUGGUUCAAUGCUUUCUUGUGACAAAUUUCUAGUUUAAUAAAUCGUGAAAUAACA